GCGGGUGUAGUUCAAUGGCAGAAUCCCAGCCUUCCAAGCUGGUCGUGUGGGUUCGAUUCCCAUCACCCGCUCCA
rnacentral:tRNA from 5 species